UUGGAGACAUAAGGUCGCGCCGCACGAUGAAAAUUAACAAAUCGAUCGAAGCGCUUUAUUUGAGAAACAUUUUCCAAUUGAUGAAAGCCUGACUCACCUCAUCCAGGGAAGUUAUCACACCUGUGCGUAUAAUCGGAUGAUAAAAAAAUUGCGGUACAUCGAGUCCGAGCCUGUGCCUCGAAAUCUACGUUUCGAGAAUGAAUGCUUGUUUUCUUAUCGUCAGAUGGCGACAAGAGUAUCGACUACUUGCCUGUCGUAUCACGAUAGAUGUACGUAGAUUGUGUCCUCAAGUAAAAUAUACAGCACGUUUAUUUCAUUAACAGUGAAUUAGAAUUUGCAAGAAGCUCAUGUCACUGCAGUUAAUUUUAAGCAUAGUGCGAAUUUCGUCAGAGAUGUAUGCGUUUCAAAAAUGUAUGACAAUUUAUGGGAAAAGAAACAUUCUGUAACGAGGAACAGUCGUCGUUUGCCAGGGACGAAUCAAAAUGGAAUGGAAACUUUUGACGAAAGAGCAUGCGGCAGAUGGCGUAUGAUUUUAUGCGU